rnacentral:tRNA from 1 species
GCGGGCGUGGUGAAACUGGCAGACACGCUAGACUUAGGAUCUAGUGCUUACGCGUGCAGGUUCGAGUCCUGUCGCCCGCACCA